rnacentral:lncRNA from 1 species
GUUAAAAAUUGUCUCGUAUAUUUAUAUUCAUAUGUUUUUGUUUAUUUUCUCAUUCACAACCAAGAACUGUAUUUCCUGAGAAGUGUACAUGUACGGUGAAUCAGAUCUUUAAGAAAUGUAAGUGUAUUUUAACAUAUAAAUGGAUGUUUUGAACGUUUAUUUUCGCGCAUGAUGAAAAUGAGACGACUUUAUUAUUUUACAGGUGUUCCGUUUCAAAAAGGCACGUACAUGAUAUUAAAUAUAAACUCAGUUAUCUAUUCUAUUCAAUCUGUACAAAAAGUCGUACAUGGUAAGAUAUAUCGAGUUGUUAUCAAUGUGUAUAAGUUAUACUAUGCCCUUGACUUAAUCCCUUUUACCGGUUAACAUGUAAGAAAAAUGAUUGAUUGCUGGUUUGAUGGUUGCUAAACGUCCAGCGGCAAAUAUAUAAUGCAUAUUAGGGAUAAGAAAGAAUUAGAUAUACAUACAAUAGGCAUGUAUUAAAGAAGAGCCCGUCUGGGAUGAAGGUAGAAAAAUAUUGAACUUGCACUGUAAAAUGAGGGUAUAUUUGGAACGGGAACCACAUUUAACCUUGCAAAAGGUCAAAUACGGACCGUCAUAGGUAUUUUGCAAGUAUUUAUGACGUACAAAGAACGUGAUAUUUUCUAUACACUUUUCAUCGGUUUUCAUGUCUCCGUUCUGAGCGGAAUUGGCUGCGAAAAUGAAGAUCCCGCACGGCGAACUGACGCUCCACUUAACCAAGGAUUUACUGCCGGUCGAGAGAAAAACAGUAAUGAUUGAUAUCUAUUACCAUGUCAUCCUAGGGGUAUGAGCAAAUUAGUAUCCCUACGUUACAGCUGAACUUUUUAUAAUAUUCAUUAUGUCUUGAGACAUGGAAAGAUGUCUUGAGACAUGGCAAAAUGUCUUGAGACAUGGCAAAAUGUCUUGAGACAUAGCAAAAUGUCUUGAGACAUAGCAAAAUGUCUUGAGACAUGGAAAAAUGUCUUAAGAUGUUUCGUUUUAGUUCAUUAUAUAAAUGCAUUUUCUACAUGGUUGAUUUCAGAUACACCAUUGACAAUGGCCAUGUCUUGAGACAUAUAGUUAAUAUACUAAGAUAUCAAAUUAAACUGUAAAUAUAUUUGCAAUGGGGCCGUCUAUUUGUUUUUCAAAGGUAAUAGCAUUCACAAACAUAUUAAAAUGGUUUCUGAUUGAAUUCAAAUGUUCAAGAGGUGAAGUUUUGUUUGACAAACAGAUUUACAGCUCAUGCAAUAAAGAGAUACGAAAAAAAAGUCUGGUACCCACACAACAUACUUAUAUGGCUAAUUUGGAGAUUAUGUUGAGAUAAAUAAAAUGGUGUACUUAAAUAUAUAUAGAUAAAUAUAUUAGGGAUAAGAAAGAAUUAGAUAUACAUACUAUAGGCAUGUAUUAAAGUAGAGGCCGUCUGGGAUGAAGGUAAAUAAAUCUGAACUUGCACUGUAAAAUGAGGGUAUAUUGGAACGGGAACCACAUUUAACCUUGCCAAAGGUCAAAUACGGACUCGUCAUAGAAAUUUUGCAAGUAUUUAUGACGUACAAAGAACGUAAUAUUCUCUAUACACUUUCCUCGGUUUUCAUGUCUCUGUUCUGACCGGAAAAUGAAGAUCCCGCACGGCGAACUGACACUCCAAUUAACUAAAGAUCUACUGUCGGUCGAGAGAAAAGCAGUGAUGAUUGAUAUCUAUUACCAUGUCAUCCUUGGGGGUAGGAACACAUUAGUAUCCCUAUGUUACAGCUGAACUUUUAUAAUAUUCCCUAUGUCUAGAGACAUGGAAAGAUGUCUUGAGACAUGGCAAAAUGUCUUGAGACAUGGCAAAAUGUCUUGAGACAUAGCAAAAUGUCUUGAGACAUGGAAAAAUGUCUUAAGAUGUUUCGUUUUAGUUCAUUAUAUAAAUGCAAUUUUCUGCAUGGUUGAUUUCAGAUACACCAUUGACAAUGGCCAUGUCUUGAGACAUAUAGUUAAUAUACUAAGAUAUCAAAUUAAACUGUAAAUAUAUUUGCAAUGGGGCCGUCUAUUUGUUUUUCAAAGGUAAUAGCAUUCACAAACAUAUUAAAAUGGUUUCUGAUUGAAUUCAAAUGUUCAAGAGGUGAAGUUUUGUUUGACAAACAGAUUUACAGCUCAUGCAAUAAAGAGAUACGAAAAAAAAGUCUGGUACCCACACAACAUACUUAUAUGGCUAAUUUGGAGAUUAUCAUUGAGCGAAAAAAAAAAUGAAGAUGGUGUAUAAAGUAUUAAUUAAAGACUCUAUGACAUAAAAAAAUACAGAUCAUACCUUGGAAGCAGUACGUAAACAAAACAAAAUAUCUAUGAAUUUGAUAUAUCUCCCCAUUAGAGGCGUGGUUUGUCAAACAGCUGUAUUUACAGGUUCAAUCUUUAGAUAGAAGAUAAAAUAUCGAUACAUUGUAGAUGUCUACGGACUGUUUCUUAUUGGUAUGUCAUAUUUGUAUUUUGAAGAAAACUAAGUCUUACAAAAAUGUUUUGACUUGAGACAGAACAUAAAUAUCUUGAGACUUUGUUGAUAUUUAAGAGUUUUGCUGAAUUGAUAUCAAUUUGUAUGUUGAAAUAAAAUACUAUAUAAAUAGAAAAAGACAGGAAAUUAUCAUUAUUAUUCUAUUUAUUUGAAGAUAUUUAUAAUGGUUAAAAAUUGUCUCGUAUAUUUAUAUUCAUAUGUUUUUGUUUAUUUUCUCACUCAAGGCCAAGAACUGUAUUUGCUGAGAAGUGUACAUGUACGGUGAAUCAGAUCUUUAAGAAAUGUAAGUGUAUUUUAACAUAUAAUGGAUGUUUUGAUCGUUCAUUUUUGCGCAUGAUGAAAAUGAGACGACUUUAUUAUUUUACAGGUGUUCCGUUUCAAAAAGGCACGUACAUGAUAUUAAAUAUAAACUCAGUUAUCUAUUCUAUUCAAUCUGUACAAAAAGUCGUACAUGGUAAGAUAUAUCGAGUUGUUAUCAAUGUGUAUAAGUUAUACUAUGCCCUUGACUUAAUCCCUUUUACCGGUUAACAUGUAAGAAAAAUGAUUGAUUGCUGGUUUGAUGGUUGCUAAACGUCCAGCGGCAAAUAUAUAAUGCAUAUUAGGGAUAAGAAAGAAUUAGAUAUACAUACAAUAGGCAUGUAUUAAAGAAGAGCCCGUCUGGGAUGAAGGUAGAAAAAUUUGAACUUGCACUGUAAAAUGAGGGUAUAUUGGAACGGGAACCACAUUUAACCUUGCAAAAGGUCAAAUACGGACCGUCAUAGGUAUUUUGCAAGUAUUUAUGACGUACAAAGAACGUGAUAUUCUCUAUACACUUUUCAUCGGUUUUCAUGUCUCCGUUCUGAGCGGAAUUGGCUGCGAAAAUGAAGAUCCCGCACGGCGAACUGACGCUCCACUUAACCAAAGAUUUACUGCCGGUCGAGAGAAAAACAGUAAUGAUUGAUAUGUAUUACCAUGUCAUCCUAGGGGUUAUGAGCAAAUUAGUAUCCCUACGUUACAGCUGAACUUUUAUAAUAUUCAUUAUGUCUUGAGACAUGGAAAGAUGUUGAGACAUGGCAAAAUGUCUUGAGACAUGGCAAAAUGUCUUGAGACAUAGCAAAAUGUCUUGAGACAUGUCUUGAGACAUGGCAAAAUGUCUUGAGACAUAGCAAAAUGUCUUGAGACAUAGCAAAAUGUCUUGAGACAUGGAAAAAUGUCUUAAGAUGUUUCGUUUUAGUUCAUUAUAUAAAUGCAUUUUUCUACAUGGUUGAUUUCAGAUACACCAUUGACAAUGGCCAUGUCUUGAGACAUAUAGUUAAUAUACUAAGAUAUCAAAUUAAACUGUAAAAGUAUUUGCAAUGGGGCCGUCUAUUUGUUUUUCAAUGGUAAUAGCAUUCACAAACAUAUUAAAAUGGUUUCUGAUUGAAUUCAAAUGUUCAAGAGGUGAAGUUUUGUUUGACAAACAGAUUUACAGCUCAUGCAAUAAACGAUACGAAAAAAAAGUCUGGUACCCACACAACAUACUUAUAUGGCUAAUUUGGAGAUUAUCGUUGAGCGAAAAAUAAAAUGUAGAUGGUGUAUAAGUUAUUAAUUAAAGACUCUAUGAUAUAAAAAAAUACAGAUCAUACCUUGGAAGCAGUACGUAAACAAAACAAAAUAUCUAUGAAUAUGAUAUAUCUCCCCAAAAGAGGCGUGGUUUGUCAAACAGCUGUAUAAAUUUACAGGUGAAAUCUUUAGAUAGAAGAUAAAAUAUCGACACAUUGUAGAUGUCUACGGACUGUUUUUUUUAUUGGUAUGUCAUAUUUGUAUUUUGAAGAAAACUAAGUCUUACAAAAAUGUUUUGCCUUGAGACAGAAAAUAAAUAUCUUGAUAUUUUUGUUGAUGUUUAAGAGUUUUGCUGUAAUUGGUAUCUAUUUGUAUGUUGAAAUAAAAUACUGUAUAAAUAGAAAACGACAGGAAAUUAUCAUUAUUAUUCUAUUUAUUUGAAGAUAUUUAUAAUGGUUAAAAAUUGUCUCGUAUAUUUAUAUUCAUAUGUUUUUGUUUAUUUUCUCACUCAUAGCCAAGAACUGUAUUUGCUGAGAAGUGUACAUGUACGGUGAAUCAGAUCUUUAAGAAAUGUAAGUGUAUUUUAACAUAUAAAUGGAUGUUUUGAUCGUUUAUUUUCGCGCAUGAUGAAAAUGAGACGACUUUAUUAUUUUACAGGUGUUCCGUUUCAAAAAGGCACGUACAUGAUAUUAAAUAUAAACUCAGUUAUCUAUUCUAUUCAAUCUGUACAAAAAGUCGUACAUGGUAAGAUAUAUCGAGUUGUUAUCAAUGUGUAUAAGUUAUACUAUGCCCUUGACUUAAUCCCUUUUACCGGUUAACAUGUAAGAAAAAUGAUUGAUUGCUGGUUUGAUGGUUGCUAAACGUCCAGCGGCAAAUAUAUAAUGCAUAUUAGGGAUAAGAAAGAAUUAGAUAUACAUACAAUAGGCAUGUAUUAAAGAAGAGCCCGUCUGGGAUGAAGGUAGAUAAAUCUGAACUUGCACUGUAAAAUGAGGGUAUAUUUGGAACGGGAACCACAUUUAACCUUGCAAAAGGUCAAAUACGGACCGUCAUAGGUAUUUUGCAAGUAUUUAUGACGUACAAAGAACGUGAUAUUCUCUAUACACUUUUCAUCGGUUUUCAUGUCUCCGUUCUGAGCGGAAUUGGCUGCGAAAAUGAAGAUCCCGCACGGCGAACUGACGCUCCACUUAACCAAGGAUUUACUGCCGGUCGAGAGAAAAACAGUAAUGAUUGAUAUCUAUUACCAUGUCAUCCUAGGGGUAUGAGCAAAUUAGUAUCCCUACGUUACAGCUGAACUUUUAUAAUAUUCAUUAUGUCUUGAGACAUGGAAAGAUGUCUUGAGACAUGGCAAAAUGUCUUGAGACAUGGCAAAAUGUCUUGAGACAUAGCAAAAUGUCUUGAGACAUAGCAAAAUGUCUUGAGACAUGGAAAAAUGUCUUAAGAUGUUUCGUUUUAGUUCAUUAUAUAAAUGCAUUUUCUACAUGGUUGAUUUCAGAUACACCAUUGACAAUGGCCAUGUCUUGAGACAUAUAGUUAAUAUACUAAGAUAUCAAAUUAAACUGUAAAAAUAUUUGCAAUGGGGCCGUCUAUUUGUUUUUCAAUGGUUAUAGCUUUCACAAACAGAUUAAAAUGGUUUCUGAUUGAAUUCAAAUGUUCAAGAGGUGAAGUUUUGUUUGACAAACAGAUUUACAGCUCAUGCAAUAAAAGGAUACGACAAAAAACUAGUCUGGUACCCACACAACAUACUUAUAUGGCUAAUUUGGAGAUUAUCGUUGAGCGAAAAAUAAAAUGUAGAUGGUGUAUAAGUUAUUAAUUAAAGACUCUAUGAUAUAAAAAAAAUACAGAUCAUACCUUGGAAGCAGUACGUAAACAAAACAAAAUAUCUAUGAAUAUGAUAUAUCUCCCCAAAAGAGGCGUGGUUUGUCAAACAGCUGUAUAAAUUUACAGGUGAAAUCUUUAGAUAGAAGAUAAAAUAUCGACACAUUGUAGAUGUCUACGGACUGUUUUUUUUAUUGGUAUGUCAUAUUUGUAUUUUGAAGAAAACUAAGUCUUACAAAAAUGUUUUGCCUUGAGACAGAAAAUAAAUAUCUUGAUAUUUUGUUGAUGUUUAAGAGUUUGCUGAAUGUAUCAAUUUGUAUGUUGAAAUAAAAUACUGUAUAAAUAGAAAACGACAGGAAAUUAUCAUUGUUAUUCUAUGUAUUUGAAGAUAUUUAUAAUGGUUAAAAAUUGUCUCGUAUAUUUAUAUUCAUAUGUUUUUGUUUAUUUUCUCACUCAACCAAGAACUGUAUUUCCUGAGAAGUGUACAUGUACGGUGAAUCAGAUCUUUAAGAAAUGUAAGUGUAUUUUAACAUAUAAAUGGAUGUUUUGAACGUUUAUUUUCGCGCAUGAUGAAAAUGAGACGACUUUAUUAUUUUACAGGUGUUCCGUUUCAAAAAGGCACGUACAUGAUAUUAAAUAUAAACUCAGUUAUCUAUUCUAUUCAAUCUGUACAAAAAGUCGUACAUGGUAAGAUAUAUCGAGUUGUUAUCAAUGUGUAUAAGUUAUACUAUGCCCUUGACUUAAUCCCUUUUACCGGUUAACAUGUAAGAAAAAUGAUUGAUUGCUGGUUUGAUGGUUGCUAAACGUCCAGCGGCAAAUAUAUAAUGCAUAUUAGGGAUAAGAAAGAAUUAGAUAUACAUACAAUAGGCAUGUAUUAAAGAAGAGCCCGUCUGGGAUGAAGGUAGAUAAAUAUGAACUUGCACUGUAAAAUGAGGGUAUUUUGAACGGGAACCACAUUUAACCUUGCAAAAGGUCAAAUACGGACUCGUCAUAGGUAUUUUGCAAGUAUUUAUGACGUACAAAGAACGUGAUAUUUUCUAUACACUUUUCAUCGGUUUUCAUGUCUCCGUUCUGAGCGGAAUUGGCUGCGAAAAUGAAGAUCCCGCACGGCGAACUGACGCUCCACUUAACCAAGGAUUUACUGCCGGUCGAGAGAAAAAACAGUAAUGAUUGAUAUCUAUUACCAUGUCAUCCUAGGGGGUAUGAGCAAAUAGUAAUCCCUACGUUACAGCUGAAACUUUUAUAAUAUUCAUUAUGUCUUGAGACAAUGGAAAGAUGUCUUUGAGACAUGGCAAAAUGUCUUGAGACAAAAUGUCUUGAGACAUAGCAAAUGUCUUGAGACAUAGCAAAUGUCUUGAGACAUAGCAAAAUGUCUUGAGACAUGGAAUGUCUUAAGAUGUUUCGUUAGUUCAUUAUAUAAAUGCAAUUUUCUACAUUGGUUGAUUUCAGAUACACAUUGACAAUGGCCAUGUCCUUGAGACAUAUAAGUUAAUAUACUAAGAUAAUCCAAUUAAACUGUAAAUAUAUUUGCAAUGGGGCCGUCUAUUUGUUUUUCAAAGGUAAUAGCAUUCACAAACAUAUUAAAAUGGUUUCUGAUUGAAUUCAAAUGUUCAAGAGGUGAAGUUUUGUUUGACAAACAGAUUUACAGCUCAUGCAAUAAAGAGAUACGAAAAAAAAGUCUGGUACCCACACAACAUACUUAUAUGGCUAAUUUGGAGAUUAUCAUUGAGCGAAAAAAAAAAUGAAGAUGGUGUAUAAAGUAUUAAUUAAAGACUCUAUGACAUAAAAAAAUACAGAUCAUACCUUGGAAGCAGUACGUAAACAAAACAAAAUAUCUAUGAAUUUGAUAUAUCUCCCCAUUAGAGGCGUGGUUUGUCAAACAGCUGUAUUUACAGGUUCAAUCUUUAGAUAGAAGAUAAAAUAUCGAUACAUUGUAGAUGUCUACGGACUGUUUUUUAUUGGUAUGUCAUAUUUGUAUUUUGAAGAAAACUAAGUCUUACAAAAAUGUUUUGACUUGAGACAGAACAUAAAUAUCUUGAGACUUUGUUGAUAUUUAAGAGUUUUGCUGAAUUGAUAUCAAUUUGUAUGUUGAAAUAAAAUACUAUAUAAAUAGAAAAAGACAGGAAAUUAUCAUUAUUAUUCUAUUUAUUUUGAAGAUAUUUAUAAUGGUUAAAAUUGUCUCGUAUAUUUAUAUUCAUAUGUUUUUGUUAUUUUCUCAUUCCAGCCAAGCACUUAUUUGCUGAAAGUGUACAUGUACGGUGAAUCAGAUCUUUAAGAAAUGUAAGUGUAUUUUAACAUAUAAUGGAUGUUUUGAUCGUUCAUUUUUGCGCAUGAUGAAAAUGAGACGACUUUAUUAUUUUACAGGUGUUCCGUUUCAAAAAGGCACGUACAUGAUAUUAAAUAUAAACUCAGUUAUCUAUUCUAUUCAAUCUGUACAAAAAGUCGUACAUGGUAAGAUAUAUCGAGUUGUUAUCAAUGUGUAUAAGUUAUACUAUGCCCUUGACUUAAUCCCUUUUACCGGUUAACAUGUAAGAAAAAUGAUUGAUUGCUGGUUUGAUGGUUGCUAAACGUCCAGCGGCAAAUAUAUAAUGCAUAUUAGGGAUAAGAAAGAAUUAGAUAUACAUACAAUAGGCAUGUAUAAAGAAGAGCCCGUCUGGGAUGAAGGUAGAAAAAUUUGAACUUGCACUGUAAAAUGAGGGUAUAUUGGAACGGGAACCACAUUUAACCUUGCAAAAGGUCAAAUACGGACCGUCAUAGGUAUUUUGCAAGUAUUUAUGACGUACAAAGAACGUGAUAUUCUCUAUACACUUUUCAUCGGUUUUCAUGUCUCCGUUCUGAGCGGUUGGCUGCGAAAAUGAAGAUCCCGCACGGCGAACUGACGUCCACUUAACCAAAGAUUUACUGCCGGUCGAGAGAAAAACAGUAAUGAUUGAUAUGUAUUACCAUGUCAUCCUAGGGGUUAUGAGCAAAUUAGUAUCCCUACGUUACAGCUGAACUUUUAUAAUAUUCAUUAUGUCUUGAGACAUGGAAAGAUGUCUUGAGACAUGGCAAAAUGUCUUGAGACAUGGGGCAAAAUGUCUUGAGACAUAGCAAAAUGUCUUGAGACAUAGCAAAAUGUCUUGAGACAUGGAAAAAUGUCUUAAGAUGUUUCGUUUUAGUUCAUUAUAUAAAUGCAAUUUUCUACAUUGUUGAUUUCAGAUACACCAUUGACAAUGGCCAUGUCUUGAGACAUAUAGUUAAUAUACUAAGAUAUCAAAUUAAACUGUAAAUAUAUUUGCAAUGGGGCCGUCUAUUUGUUUUUCAAAGGUAAUAGCAUUCACAAACAUAUUAAAAUGGUUUCUGAUUGAAUUCAAAUGUUCAAGAGGUGAAGUUUUGUUUGACAAACAGAUUUACAGCUCAUGCAAUAAAGAGAUACGAAAAAAAAGUCUGGUACCCACACAACAUACUUAUAUGGCUAAUUUGGAGAUUAUCAUUGAGCGAAAAAAAAAAUGAAGAUGGUGUAUAAAGUAUUAAUUAAAGACUCUAUGACAUAAAAAAAUACAGAUCAUACCUUGGAAACAGUACGUUAACAAAACAAAAUAUCUAUGAAUUUGAUAUAUCUCCCGAAAAAGAGGUGGUUUUGUCAACAGUUGUAUUUACAGGUUCAAUCUUAGAUAGAGAGAUAAAAUAUCGAUACAUUGAAGAUGUCUACGGACUGUUUUUUAUUGGUAUGUCAUAUUUGUAUUUUGAAGAAAACUAAGUCUUACAAAAAUGUUUUGACUUGAGACAGAACAUAAAUAUCUUGAGACUUUGUUGAUAUUUAAGAGUUUUGCUGAAUUGAUAUCAAUUUGUAUGUUGAAAUAAAAUACUAUAUAAAUAGAAAAAGACAGGAAAUUAUCAUUAUUAUUCUAUUUAUUUGAAGAUAUUUAUAAUGGUUAAAAAUUGUCUCGUAUAUUUAUAUUCAUAUGUUUUUGUUUAUUUUCUCAUUCACAGCCAAGCACUGUAUUUGCUGAGAAGUGUACAUGUACGGUGAAUCAGAUCUUUAAGAAAUGUAAGUGUAUUUUAACAUAUAAUGGAUGUUUUGAUCGUUCAUUUUUGCGCAUGAUGAAAAUGAGACGACUUUAUUAUUUUACAGGUGUUCCGUUUCAAAAAGGCACGUACAUGAUAUUAAAUAUAAACUCAG